rnacentral:rRNA from 1 species
CUACGAAGGUCCCAAGCGUUAUUCGGAAUCACUGGGCGUAAAGAGUACGUAGGCGGUUUGGUAAGUCAGGUGUGAAAUCCCGAAGCUCAACUUCGGAACUGCAUCCGAUACUGCCAGACUAGAGUAAUGGAGAGGCAGGUGGAAUUCUCGGUGUAGCAGUGAAAUGCGUGGAUAUCGAGAGGAAGACCAAUGGCGAAGGCAGCCUGCUGGACAUUUACUGACGCUGAGGUACGAAGGCUAGGGGAGCGAAAGGGAUUAGAAACCCGAGUAGUCC